GAUGAACGCUGGCGGCGUGCCUAAUACAUGCAAGUCGAGCGAACGGACGAGAAGCUUGCUUUUCUGAUGUUAGCGGCGGACGGGUGAGUAACACGUGGAUAACCUACCUAUAAGACUGGGAUAACUUCGGGAAACCGGAGCUAAUACCGGAUAAUAUUUUGAACCGCAUGGUUCAAAAGUGAAAGACGGUCUUGCUGUCACUUAUAGAUGGAUCCGCGCUGCAUUAGCUAGUUGGUAAGGUAACGGCUUACCAAGGCAACGAUGCAUAGCCGACCUGAGAGGGUGAUCGGCCACACUGGAACUGAGACACGGUCCAGACUCCUACGGGAGGCAGCAGUAGGGAAUCUUACGCAGUGGGCGAAAGCCUGACGGAGCAACGCCGCGUGAGUGAUGACGGUCUUCGGAUCGUAAAACUCUGUUAUUAGGGAAGAACAUAUGUGUAAGUAACUGUGCACAUCUUGACGGUACCUAAUCAGAAAGCCACGGCUAACUACGUG
rnacentral:rRNA from 1 species